GACGAACGCUGGCGGCGUGCCUAAUACAUGCAAGUCGAGCGGACGAUUCGAAAGCUUGCUUUUGAAUCGUUAGCGGCGGACGGGUGAGUAACACGUGGGCAACCUGCCCUGUAGACGGGGAUAACACCGAGAAAUCGGUGCUAAUACCGGAUAACACGAAAUGUCGCAUGACGUUUCGUUGAAAGGCGGCGCAAGCUGCCGCUACAGGAUGGGCCCGCGGCGCAUUAGCUAGUUGGUGAGGUAACGGCUCACCAAGGCGACGAUGCGUAGCCGACCUGAGAGGGUGAUCGGCCACACUGGGACUGAGACACGGCCCAGACUCCUACGGGAGGCAGCAGUAGGGAAUCUUCCGCAAUGGACGAAAGUCUGACGGAGCAACGCCGCGUGAGCGAAGAAGGCCUUCGGGUCGUAAAGCUCUGUUGUUAGGGAAGAACAAGUAACGUAGUAACUGACGUCACUAUGACGGUACCUAACGAGAAAGCCACGGCUAACUACGUG
rnacentral:rRNA from 1 species